rnacentral:rRNA from 1 species
GUAACGCGUGAGUAACCUGCCUUAUACAGGGGGAUAACAGUCAGAAAUGGCUGCUAAUACCGCAUAAGCGCACAGAGCUGCAUGGCUCAGUGUGAAAAACUCCGGUGGUAUAAGAUGGACCCGCGUUGGAUUAGCUUGUUGGUGGGGUAACGGCCCACCAAGGCGACGAUCCAUAGCCGGCCUGAGAGGGUGAACGGCCACAUUGGGACUGAGACACGGCCCAGACUCCUACGGGAGGCAGCAUG